rnacentral:misc_RNA from 1 species
AAGUCGUAACAAGGUUUCCGUAGGUGAACCUGCGGAAGGAUCAUCAACAAAUCCCUCUAAAUACUCAAAACACACCUUUGUGCUCAAAACCCCCUAUAAAUCUAUGCUCUUCUCCGGUCACUUGCUGAUCAAGUGUAUGGUUUGAAUGAGAUCGUCAUUGGUUGUACGAUCCUUCCAUGCAUGAGUUGAGUGUAGGUUUUUUUUUCCCUUACAACCAAAAAAACAACAACAUAAACUCCAAAAAAACACAAUCUUUAUCUAUCUGUUUCUGUUUUUUGUUUUCUUUUCUUUUCAUCUUGUAUGCACACUCGUGUGUAUAUAAUGUGAAAAAAAAGGAAAUAAAAAUAUAAAAAAACUUGAAAACAACUUUUAACAAUGGAUCUCUUGGUUCUC